GGCUUCUGUAUCCGUGCCGAGACUUCAUCAAACACCAGACCACAAGGGCUAAUGAGACUCCCAAGAUAAGUGAAGUG
rnacentral:pre_miRNA from 1 species